CAUUAGUAGGGAGUCUUCUUUGUGCCAGGAUCACAGCUAGGCACUGUGGAUUGAGAGAGUGAAUAGAGAGAUGAAUGAGAAAUGAUUCCUGCCCUUGGGGAGCUCACAGUCCAGUGGGAGAGAGAGAGAGAUGUGAACAUUAAUUACAACAAUGUGAUGAAUGCUCUAAUAAAGUUCAGAGCAGGGUGCUCAGCUGCCCACAGAGCUGUGCAGCAGCAUUCAUCUAUUUUACCUUGGCCUUCUAAAGGUCUUUGCUUCCUCCAAGUGUAAACUAUGAUUACCAAAUCUCAAGGGUGCUGGAUUAUAUGUAGCUUUAAAAUAAGUCUUGCAGGUUGCAGCUACUACUGAUUCAGAGACAGUGAAGUCAGAUAACAGCAAUUGAAGGCUUAGAUCAGGUUGAACGAUCUUUGCAAUUCUCCAACUCCUUCUUAGUCAUGAUCCAUUCAAAAACUAUGGGCUCUCCAAGGCCAGGCUGCAGCCAGGAGAAAGGACAGUGACCAUGUGAACACUUAAGUCCCUGGAAAAAUGCUUUCGGGAAGAAAACAAAUGUAGUCAAAUAUCCAUAGAAGUAUUCUUGCUGGUCGCCUUCAAUUCUAGGCGAGGGUGGUAGAAUAGAAGCAAGGAAAAGCAAGUUAUCUGUGUGGGCAUUAUCAUUGAGAGGGAAUUAUCAGUAAUUAACAGGGGCAUUGACCAAUAACAAUGACAAAUCAUAGUGUUUCAGAGGGAAAUUAGUUUGGGAUAAAACAAGGACCAUGGGACAUCAGUCUGUGUUAGGUGCUAUGGCCCUUUAUGGAGUUUUCACAUUUUAAGAAGUGCUUGGUGGUGCUACAGAAUUUUAGAAUGGAAAACAUCAUCUUGUUGAGCUGAGCUGGACACUUGGUUGUCAAUUCUGAAGAAUCUGUAAGGCAGGACAUUCUAAUAGCUUCAUUUUUUUUUUUUUUUUUUUUUUUUUUUUUUAGCUGCAGUUACCAUCCUCAAACACAAAAGUAAUUGAUACUCAGCAAUGAAAGCUGCAUGUGCAUGUGGGGGAGAGAAGGAGGUUUCACCAGACUGACAAAUGGAGUCAUGGUUCUGGGAAGGAGCAGGUAAGGAGGAAU
rnacentral:lncRNA from 1 species